AUGAACGCUGGCGGCGUGCCUAAUACAUGCAAGUCGAGCGAACAGACGAGGAGCUUGCUCCUCUGACGUUAGCGGCGGACGGGUGAGUAACACGUGGAUAACCUACCUAUAAGACUGGGAUAACUUCGGGAAACCGGAGCUAAUACCGGAUAAUAUAUUGAACCGCAUGGUUCAAUAGUGAAAGACGGUUUUGCUGUCACUUAUAGAUGGAUCCGUGCCGCAUUAGCUAGUUGGUAAGGUAACGGCUUACCAAGGCAACGAUGCGUAGCCGACCUGAGAGGGUGAUCGGCCACACUGGAACUGAGACACGGUCCAGACUCCUACGGGAGGCAGCAGUAGGGAAUCUUCCGCAAUGGGCGAAAGCCUGACGGAGCAACGCCGCGUGAGUGAUGAAGGUCUUCGGAUCGUAAAACUCUGUUAUUAGGGAAGAACAAAUGUGUAAGUAACUAUGCACGUCUUGACGGUACCUAAUCAGAAAGCCACGGCUAGCUACGUG
rnacentral:rRNA from 1 species